UAAGAACCUAGGCUCGUGAGAGACGAGGAUUUGUGGCCCGUGGCGAAAAAUGAAUUGAUUGGGUCAAGUGUUGUACGUUUCUGAAAAUGAUGUUAGAUGUAGAUUCAAGGUGUGGUUUAUUCUUAGCCGAGUGUGUUCAUGUUGGCGCGUGACAAUAUGAAACCGAGUGAUGAGAAUAGGCACCCUUGCUUGACUUUCGCCUGAUUUUAAGUCUGUGUCAGUGUUAGUUGUUUCAUGCUUGACUUAGAGGAUUGACCGAGUUGUCGUGUUUCAAGGAACGAUGGCACCGCGUAGGCGAUCUU
rnacentral:lncRNA from 1 species